rnacentral:rRNA from 1 species
GGAUGAACGCUGGCGGCGUGCCUAAUACAUGCAAGUCGAGCGAACUGAUUAGAAGCUUGCUUCUAUGACGUUAGCGGCGGACGGGUGAGUAACACGUGGGCAACCUGCCUGUAAGACUGGGAUAACUUCGGGAAACCGAAGCUAAUACCGGAUAGGAUCUUCUCCUUCAUGGGAGAUGAUUGAAAGAUGGUUUCGGCUAUCACUUACAGAUGGGCCCGCGGUGCAUUAGCUAGUUGGUGAGGUAACGGCUCACCAAGGCAACGAUGCAUAGCCGACCUGAGAGGGUGAUCGGCCACACUGGGACUGAGACACGGCCCAGACUCCUACGGGAGGCAGCAGUAGGGAAUCUUCCGCAAUGGACGAAAGUCUGACGGAGCAACGCCGCGUGAGUGAUGAAGGCUUUCGGGUCGUAAAACUCUGUUGUUAGGGAAGAACAAGUACGAGAGUAACUGCUCGUACCUUGACGGUACCUAACC